rnacentral:lncRNA from 1 species
GUGGGCAGAGACCACCUCCCUCAUUGCCGCUUUGGGUUUGGACCGCUUUAAACAGUAAAGUGACUGUCGACGGCUCAGUCUACAGGGAGGAGAACAAAAGACAGGGUCAGGGCUGGGCAGACUGGACAGGGUAAGAUUCUGGCUCCCCUCACUUGCUAGUUGGAGGAGUGGGGAGGCGAGUUAUUAGUGCCUUUGGGCCCUGACCUUAUAGCCCUUCGUAGGGUGGUGUGCGAAUGUCCAGUGUCCAGUGCUGAAUGCUGAGGGACCCAGUAAGAGGAGGUGGCUAGAACUGGAGGGACAGUUUCCCAGAAGCCUGGGCUUUGGGAUAGCAGCUGGGGAGAGCAGAGUCACGCUAGGCUCUUGUCUAGUGACUGGAGCUGUCAGCAGCAUAAGCCAGGCUCUAUGGAAUGUUGGGUGAGCUGCUUGAGGAACUCCAAGGCCUGUCCCACAGUCUUCCAGCCUCCGACUCUCCGGCCCUCAGCGAGGUCAGCAGUGAGCUACUUUUGGAUCUGAAGUCCCACUGGUUUUUUUGGUUGGUUUUUUUUUUUUUUUUUAAGGUUUUUUGGUUUUUUUUUUUUUUUCUCAUUCCUGUCUUGGGAGCUUUCCCCAACCAGCAGACUGAUCGAACACACAGGCUUCUCAGCCCACUCCCUCCAGUCAAGGUUAAGGCCUGGCAAAGGUGGAGGAAGAGAAGCUGAGGAGAAAAAGGCGAGGAGAGCCUAGGCACAGGAAGGUGACCGUGAGUAGAGUUGGGUGGUCCAGGGAUGUGGCUGGGAUCCCCUCUUCCUUCUGGAGUUCUCUUAGACAGUAAGGCUGAAGAGAAGCUUGGUACAGGAACUUCGAAGGUUUCUCAAGCUGCAGGUCAUGGCUACCGCUUCCCUCCCUCCCAGUGCUGAUUUCCUGUGGACCAGAUUCCAGCACAGUGGAGGGCCAGAGCUCAGGGAACAGACCCAGCAGCACAGCAAGUCUCCAAGGAAAGCUCUGAAC